rnacentral:rRNA from 1 species
AUUAAACGCUGGCGGCAUGCCUUACACAUGCAAGUCGAACGGUAACGGGCCUUCGGGUGCCGACGAGUGGCGAACGGGUGAGUAAUGUAUCGGAACGUACCUUUCAGUGGGGGAUAACGUAGCGAAAGUUACGCUAAUACCGCAUAUUCUGUGAGCAGGAAAGCAGGGGACCGCAAGGCCUUGCGCUCUUUGAGCGGCCGAUGUCAGGUUAGCUAGUUGGUGAGGUAAAGGCUUACCAAGGCGACGAUCUGUAGCGGGUCUGAGAGGAUGAUCCGCCACACUGGAACUGAGACACGGUCCAGACUCCUACGGGAGGCAGCAGUGGGGAAUUUUGGACAAUGGGCGCAAGCCUGAUCCAGCCAUGCCGCGUGAGUGAAGAAGG